rnacentral:rRNA from 1 species
CCUACGGGUGGCUGCAGUGGGGGAUAUUACACAAUGGGGGAAACCCUGAUGCAGCAACGCCGCGUGUGGGAAGAAGGUUUUCGGAUUGUAAACCCCUGUUCUUGGUGAAGAUAAUGACGGUAACCAAGGAGCACUCUCCGGCUCACUACGUUCCAGCCGCCGCGGUAAUACGUAGGGAGCAAGCGUUGUCCGGAUUUACUGGGUGUAAAGGGUGCGUAGGCGGUCUUGCAAGUCAGACGUGAAAACCACAGGCUCAACCUGUGGACUGCGUUUGAAACUGUGGGGCUUGAGUGAAGUAGAGGUAGGCGGAAUUCGCGGUGUAGCGGUGAAAUGCGUAGAGAGCGGGAGGAACACCAGUGGCGAAGGCGGCCUACUGGGGUGUAACUGACGCUGAGGCACGAAAGCAUGGGUAGCAAACAGGAUUAGAUACCCUUGUAGUC